UAGGGAAUAUUGGACAAUGGGUGAGAGCCUGAUCCAGCCAUGCCGCGUGCAGGAAGAAGGCGUUAUGCGUUGUAAACUGCUUUUUGCCAGGGGAUAAAAUGAGCGUGCGCGCUUAAUUGAAGGUACCUGGUGAAUAAGCCACGGCUAACUACGUGCCAGCAGCCGCGGUAAUACGUAGGUGGCAAGCGUUGUCCGGAUUUAUUGGGUUUAAAGGGUGCGUAGGUGGCCCUGUAAGUCAGUGGUGAAAUAUCUCAGCUUAACUGAGAGGGUGCCAUUGAUACUGCAGGGCUUGAGUACAGAUGAGGUAGGCGGAAUUGACGGUGUAGCGGUGAAAUGCAUAGAUAUCGUCAAGAACACCGAUAGCGAAAGGCAGCUUACCAAGCUGUAACUGACACUGGGGCACGAAAGUGUGGGGAUCAAACAGGAUUAGAUACCCAAGUAGUCCCUGAGCGGGCUGGCAAGGC
rnacentral:rRNA from 1 species